GUCCACAGCCAUACCACCCUGACCGUGCCUGAAGCUAAGUAGGGUCCGGCCUGGUUACUAUUUGGGUGGGAGACCGCCUCAGAAUACCGACUGCUGUAGGCU
rnacentral:rRNA from 1 species